GGUCCCAUCGUCUAGGGGUUAGGACACCGCCCUUUCACGGCGGCGGCAGGGGUUCAAAUCCCCUUGGGACUACCA
rnacentral:tRNA from 2 species